rnacentral:rRNA from 1 species
GAUUAGAUACCCUAGUAUGAAAGGGAAAAAGAUUCGGUAUAUUAAGACAAUUAAAAAACUUGGCGGUUAUAAAUUGAUUAGAGGAGCUUGUUUUUAAUGAGAAUUUGCUCUUUAUAUUUUAUUGAUAUGUAGUGUUUAUUCAUCUCCGUUAUUAGAUAUAGUUUGAUGGGAAGUUGAUUUUGUAUUUCAGGUCGAGAUGUAGCAUGUAUUAGGAGGAAUUAGCUACAAUUAAAUGUUGAUUGGAACUUGCAGGGUAGAGAUAUGUAGGGGAAAUUGAAUUUGGUUGUAACAAUAAUUAGAAUGUUAUUAUGAAAAUAUAUUUAUAAUGUACAGAUUGCCCGUCACUUCUGUUGUAGAGAAAGAAUAAGUCGUAACAUAU